rnacentral:rRNA from 1 species
UACGGGGGGGCAAGCGUUGUUCGGAAUUACUGGGCGUAAAGGGCUCGUAGGCGGCCAACUAAGUCAGACGUGAAAUCCCUCGGCUUAACCGGGGAACUGCGUCUGAUACUGGAUGGCUUGAGUUUGGGAGAGGGAUGUGGAAUUCCUGGUGUAGCGGUGAAAUGCGCAGAUAUCAGGAAGAACACCCGUGGCGAAGGCGGCUCUCUGGGACGGUACUGACGCUGAGACGCGAAAGCGUGGGGAGCGAACAGG